UACAGAGGGUGCGAGCGUUGUCCGGAAUCACUGGGCGUAAAGGGCGCGUAGGCGGUUCUGUAAGCGUGUGGUGAAAGCCCGGGGCUCAACCCCGGGUCGGCCAUGCGAACUGCGGAACUGGAGCCGAUCAGAGGCAGGCGGAAUUCCGGGUGUAGCGGUGAAAUGCGUAGAGAUCGGGAAGAACAUCGGUGGCGAAGGCGCUCUACUGGACCACAACUGACACUCAGGGACGAAAGCUAGGGGAGCGAAUGGG
rnacentral:rRNA from 1 species